rnacentral:ncRNA from 1 species
UCCAUCGUGAGGUGGAAUCUGAAGGAAGCGGUAGGCAAAAUCUCGGUCUGAUGAACAAAAACCAGAUGAGAGGCUGAAUUGGGGCGGACGAGUUUGCUAAACAAAACGAAGUCCAACACUACCCGAACCCCAUACAGUAAAUCUGGCAGAUAAACGAGAUGAAGGUUAUCGUU